rnacentral:rRNA from 1 species
AUUGAACGCUGGCGGCAUGCCUUACACAUGCAAGUCGAACGGCAGCACGGGAGCAAUCCUGGUGGCGAGUGGCGAACGGGUGAGUAAAGUAUCGGAACGUGCCCAGUCGUGGGGGAUAACGUAGCGAAAGUUACGCUAAUACCGCAUACGAUCUAUGGAUGAAAGCGGGGGAUCGCAAGACCUCGCGCGAUUGGAGCGGCCGAUAUCAGAUUAGGUAGUUGGUGGGGUAAAGGCCCACCAAGCCGACGAUCUUUAGCUGGUCUGAGAGGACGACCGGCCACACUGGGACUUAGACGCGGCCCAGACUCCUACGGGAGGCAGCAGUGGGGAAUUGUGGACAAUGGGCGAAAGCCUGAUCCAGCCAUGCCGCGUGCAGGAUGAAGGCCUUCGGGUUGUAGACUGCUUUUGUACGGAACGAAAAGGACUGCCCUAAUACGGUGGUCCCAUGACGGUACCGUAAGAAUAAGCACCGGCUAACUACGUGCCAGCCGCCGCGGUAACAC